rnacentral:misc_RNA from 1 species
UGAAAAAUAUAUUUUACCAAAGGAAUGAGAUGUGAUAUAUCUUGUAUGAAGAAGUUUUGAAUAUUUAUUUAGCAACCAGAGUGUAUGCUUGUUCCAGGAGCAUACACAAUAUUUUUUACAUGUUAUGUUCCUCAUACAUACAUGUCUAUGUGUUGUAAUAUGCAAUCCUGAUAUAAAUAUUAAAUGUAAAGUUUUCUAAAAAUAUUACUAGUUUUAUCUUCAAAAUUUUAUUUUCAUAGUGUGAGAUAAAUGUUAGUUUAAUGAAAGCAAUCCGGUCUCCAGAAGACAAUGAUUUGGAUGUACAGUAGUCAGUCUGAAAUACACUGUAUAUUCACUGAACAUCUACAUUGUACCAUGUAAUGUAAAUUAACAUUAAGGUCAUCCUUGUCUGUAAUAAGAGUUGGGGCUGUGAUCAGAUAUUUUGUCCCGUCUACUUCUGUUUAUGAGUCGUCAGAUUUCAUAUAGUGUGUUGUACAUGUGUAAUUAUAUUUAUUAUGCAUUUAUUAUAAUAGUAUCAUACAGAACUUAUGUGUGUUGUCUACGGAUUAUUAUUUCAUCCUGAUAUAUCUAUGAAAGGACUGAUAAAGCACUGACAUCUUGCAUUUAUAUACUGUAAUAUUUUUUUAUAUUUCUGUAAUUAAUUUGAGACGCAAUGCAAUGUUAAUGGAGAGUUGAAUAUGUGUUGUUUAUGAAAGAAAUGUUUGGGCAUAGUAUGCGUUUACAAUUGAUUUGAUUUGGGGGGGGGGGGGUAAUAUAGUUAGAUGUGCAGACCGUUUUGUGAUAUUUAUUUAAUGACAUGUUGCUUGAUUUGAUUCUAUUAAGAAAAUUAUAUGAAUGUUUUUGAAAUGUUGUUAAAAAAUCAUGUCAUAUCAUGGUAUAUGUGAUAUAGAGGCAAAUAAAUGAAAUGAACAGC